UUUGUCAAACAUGAUUAAAUAUAUUGCUGUCCUUUUAAAACUGAGAUAAUUUUACAAUAUUUUACAAUAUCUCUGUUAGGAUAAUAUAUAGUAUAAUAUGUCUAUAAACACAUAAUCUUUUAGCAUUGUUGUAUGAUUAAUAAUUAAGCAAACCUUUAUGUGUUAAACUGUAAUAAUUUUCUAAAUUAUGCUCACUUACACUCACUCACUGAAUUCUUAAUGUAAAAGCCUGAGUGAACUAUGUGAUGUUUUAAUUUUUAACCAGGCAGGUGUGUGUUGGACAGUCUCUCUGACAACCACAGACCGCUCCAGUCGCAUAUGCGACAACAGCACACAUUUGUAAGUGUUUAAAAUCAUGUAUUUGGAUUGUGAAUUUAAUUCAUUUCAAGUAGAAAGACAUUAGAUGGUACCGUUCUGACAUACUUUGCGUUGUAGCUUUUGUUUCUUGCCUGUGGAACCAACUAGAAUCCUUGUGUAAGUGGAUAAAAUGCCAAACAGGGCGCAAGAGGAUGCGGUGAUCAAUAUGAAAUCUGUGCAGGAGAUUGCUAAGCAGUUAGGGUUUGAGUGGACCGUUCUAGCAUUUGAACUGGGAUUCACCAGAAAUGAGGUCAGACAGUUUCAUGCCACCUCCAAAGAAAAGAGGGUUCAGGCUCAGAGAAUGCUGGAAUCAUGGUGUGUAUUAAUCCAACACACUAUUAAAUGUAACUGUUUAUUAUUGUUUUUUAAAUUAGACUUUAUUUGACAAAACGUACACCUUUUUUUACUAUGAAAGUUGUGUUGGUGUUAACUGGUGAUAGCUCUGAUGAUUUGUGUUAUUGAUUGAUAGGUAUGAGCGUUCCUGGGACAAACCGAACAAAACCAAGCUUCUGCAGGACGGUCUUGAGCGGGCGGGCCGUCGUGAUCUGGCUGAGAGGCUGCGCUGCCUGCACUGGGGUCACCAGAAGCUCAGCCGAAGAGUCGAGCUGCCCUCUGCCUUCCCCUUCAUUAUUACCGUCCACAAGACCAUAGACAACAAGGACGCCU
ensembl:lncRNA